rnacentral:rRNA from 1 species
GACGUAGGGUGCAAGCGUUGUCCGGAUUUACUGGGCGUAAAGAGCGCGUAGGCGGUCUGUUAAGUGUAGAGUGAAAUCUCCAGGGCUCAACCCGGAAACUGCUCUGCAUACUGGCAGACUGGAGGGACUGAGAGGUGAAUGGAAUUCCUGGUGUAGCGGUGAAAUGCGUAGAUAUCAGGAGGAACACCCAUGGCGAAGGCAGUUCACUGGCAGUCUCCUGACGCUGAGGCGCGAAAGCCAGGGGAGCGAACGGG